ACGAUGCAGUCCACCGAGUUGGUGCGAAAAACUCUCCAGACUCCGAAGGCGUAGGAGACGGCGGAGAGCCAGUCAGACACCGAGAGGUAAACUAGGAGCUUCCUCGGAGUCGUUCUCAAGUCUGACCAAAUAAUAUAGGGCCUCUUAUUGCGAAGAAUUUCUGCGGCAGUAUACUUGCUGAUUGCUUCGUUCUCACUCCUCACAACAACCAGCUAAGACACUGCCAGAGAAACACCCACAGGAGCCACGUCCAACUGUCCUUCCCUCCACCUUUUGACUGAUCUUUGGCGUGGCACUUCCACCUGUGAGUCUGGCACUGCGGACGCUCACACUUUUCACGCCCAGCUUCAUGGUGCAGUGGUUGGAAGGGACAACAGCUAAAACCCCCUCGCUAUCAGUUGCAUUUGCUCGCUGCAGUGCUAUUUUUGGGCCGACUGACCAUUCCAUACUGCCCUCUCCCUGUGGACUCUGCUUUGCUGACAGGACAACAUGGAUACUAGAGAGUGAUCUGCAGCAAAUGAAGGAACAGGGAAUUAUUAAGGAGGAAGGGAGGUGUCCGGAGGGAUGUUUGGAAAAACACAGAUGGAUGAACGUCCUCUACUGGUUGUACCUUCACUGUCUGAAUUCGCAGCGAGGCUAUUUGUAGCUCCCCAUGUCUGCUUUUGGUGUAUUUUAUGACGCAUUUUUGGUUGAAUAACUGGAAAUUCCUUACAUAAUUGGUGUUUGGAGCGUUUUGACCUUAUCUAAUGUUAAAGAAACUGUUGGUGAUGCUCUGAUAUAAUUUUUGACACAAUAGGCCCUUCUGAUACCAACACUAAAUAUGUAUGCCUCUGCUCUUCUUUUACACAAGUGAUGUCGACUGAAACACAGGAGCACCUGGCCUCCUUUCAGUGGCCAAACGGUUGCAUCUGGGUGUCUUUGUGGCAAGCCAAACGCCGCCUCCACUGAGCACAUGAUGAGAGGAAUUCCUUCCUGCGCAGGGCUUGAUGUAAUCCCUAAUACAGGAUUGAGGAAUGCCAGUGAAAACAACACCCUGCUUGCUAAAUGAAUGAGUGGCUGCCUCACUGCAUCACAUGGCAAACAGCAGCAGCAGGAGCCAGAGAGGAGACGUGGCCUGCUGGGUUUCCCGGUAGAAACCGGCUUUCAUUCUGGCCAGAAGAGAAAACAAUAACAAAAACAGCUGUCCUUCUCUGUGAGGAUCAAACUGUGGUCAGACAAUGAUCGCCGAGUCCCCAGGGGCUUGUGAAAGGGUCAACGGUGGUGCUCUGUCUGUGCGGAGGUUACUGUGCCACUGUGUGAUUGGCAGCACAACAAGUCAAGGCAUGUUCCAACACGCCACCAACAGCCGGACCGGUGUAUGAGCCUGCUCCUAGACCAGAGGGGGAGGAGCAGAGGAUCAGAGAGAGGGGAAACCCAGGAAAAAGACCCAGCAUGACUCAGCCUGCUUCAGUCGGCAAAUUGCUCAAGGAGGAUGGUGGGAGCAUGUGCUGCAUACUUUUUCAUCAGGGGAGGGGAGGGGGGAGGGUGAGUGUAGGAGAGAGGAUGGGGGGAGGUGGUGGGGCAGAAUCACAGAGGUGCAAAGCAUGCCGGUGAGGCGCUAUGCUGGGCAACUGUACCUCUGAGAGAGACUACAGUAGAGAAAUUGGAGAUGAGGCAGGAGGAGGAGGGAAGAAGAGGAGAGAGGGUGGGAGGUGGGGGGAGGGCAGAAGUGAGGCGCAAGGAACAUCAGGUGAGUGCGGCAAUUUCCUUUGCUGGCAGUGCAGCACCCACCCUCAGUGAAAGUGCGAGCCAUAGAACUGCAGAUGUUCCAAGAUGAUGUCAGGCCCCGGCGGUGGCGCGGACCUCAUGUACAUUUAGUUAUCGCCCUGUUCCCCCGCACUCACCCGCCUGCAGUGGGGAGAAAUCCAGAGGCCAGAGAGAUGCUCUGGACCUCAGCCUCACAAAGAGCCCGAUGACGACGCAGGACCCGCAUUUCAAGGUCUUAGCACAGUUACCUGAGGUGAACUCAGAGCCAGGCGAGAGCCAGGUGAAGUGACCUGGCUGGAUCCAUCAUCAAGACCUCCCAGACAAGUUUCACAGCACAAUUUUCAACUCUGACUCACUUUUAUAUGAAGCUUUUCGCCCACAAACUAUUUUUACAUGGCCUUUGAAAGGGCUUGCAGUCGAGCAUAGACAGAGCAAUAUGGCAUAAAAGACAAAAGUAGCAACAUCGACUUUUAGAGCAAAAGAGUUGCUGAGAUACUGCUGCACUGAUAUUAUUGGAGUGGAUGUUCUCUGAGAGACCUUUUCAUGUCUGUUUUUAUCCCAGAGACAAGUAAAACUAAAAUAAAUUUUAAAAAAUACAUACACAACCACCUCAGUACUUUCUCUCACAGUAUGUGCUAAACUCCCCAAAAAGAAUCUUAAAAAGCCACGCUCUGCCCUGAAAUCCACUUUUAGGACAGCAGAAAAGUCCCAGUAGCUAGUGCACAACUUCAUGACUGCAGCACAGCUCCCCUGUCCCAUGCAGGCCACUGUAGCCUCGUCCUCAUUUCCGCAUUUCAGCACUCAGACACAGACAGCACAGGACCACUGACACAAUAGAUCCUUCCUACCAGUUUCCAGCAUCAUAUUCACAACUAACACAUGCUGCUAAAUAUAAACCCAGAACUAGCAGAGAAAAGUGGAGAGCUCGGGACUGUCUGUUCUUUUGUUAAAGCUAAGUCAGCAAAGAUAAAAGUCUCCUCCACUGAAGUCUUCCAUCCUGGCUAGUUUUUUUUAUUUUUUAUUUUUUUUGUCCUUGUGUCAAAUGGCGAGUCAGCCGCUAUCUGACACGCCGGCUGCUAUUUCCAGCCCGUACCAUGCUUUAAACAUGGAUGAGGGAGCAGCAGAGCCUGACUGCUAACUGGCUGGCUGGCUGGCUGCUGCCUGGUUAUUGCUGGUGCAGAGGAGGCUGACACUGAUGAGACAGAAGCAGCCGGGAGCCUCCACACUGCAGGCAUGCACACCGAUAUAUCAACUCCUGUAAGGCUGAUUUAGGAAGUAUACCGUCCGAUGCAAAAGGAGAGACAGACAUUAGGAGACAACAUGCAAGGUAAAGAAGGCUAGAAAGGAAAUAAAAUGUAUACCUACAGAUGAGUCUCGGACUGCAUCGCUCACGGGGCGGCGAGGAGGAAAACUUCUCUGCACUCACUCUGAGCCUCAUGGUCGCUUGUGAUGUGCCUUCAUGGCGCGGCAAAGUUGACUGCAGCAUUGCCUCCUGAACAGAAUGACAUUGUUUGCACUCUCUCUCUCCCUCUCCCUCUGUCUCUCCCUCACUCCUCCUCCUCCUCCUCCUCCUCCUCCUGUACGCGCUCGCUCCCCCUCCUCUUCUUUGCACGCUUGCUGGCAGCAUAAACUGCACAGCUCAGCAGUGUUCCCCCACUGCCGCAGCAGAUCCUGCAUGAGCUCUGCGUAUCUGAGUGGGAUGGGACUUUUAAAGGGGAAUGCAACCUCCAGGGUCAGUGUGUGUGCACAUCCUCAGUCCAUCCUCCUCCUCUCCUCCCUGUCCUCCUCUGCACCCCCUCCACCCCCCAACCCCCCCACACCAAAAACACCCCUGAGAAUCAUCAGUGUAAAGGACUCCUCACAAGAGAGACCCCCUCCACACACGCAUAACUCUCCAUCCCCCUUUAAUUCAUUUUCACACUACAGCAAAAGCUGCUUUGAGAUAUGAGUGUGCUCAAACCUCAGUGAGGAACAGUAUGCUCCACAGAGAGGCCAUCUCCACUGGUGUGAUUUAGAACUUGUCAGAUUAUUUCUAAAAUCUAAUUUCCUCAGAAAAUGCCCGGAAGGAUUUCUCCUGCUAUGUUUUGAAGAAAGAUCUUAAACUAUUUUAAAAAAAUGUACAUGGAGGAGCAGAAAAUGUGACAGUUUAAGGCUGGAUUAAGAAAGUCACAGACUUGGUCACCAGUUUGAAAUCAAAAUGAUCCUUUGACACCUGGUGAUAUAUGACAGAUACAUGAUUAAUUACUGUACUCUAUACUAAAAGAAAUUGUUUAGACCAUGUACACCAACAAAACACAAGGCACACCACAGGAUAAUUGUGCACAGAUCACCAAAGCAUUUUGACACACAAGCAAUAACAAUGCAACAAUCAGUAAGUGAAUAUUGCUGCUAUGUCAGAACUCGCCCAGAAGUUCACAGUUCCCACAGGAACAAAAUAACCUUCACCAAAAGUAAAAUGUCCUUAAUCUGCAGUCCCUUAUACCUGCCUUUCAUUACCCACAGUGCAGUGCACUACUGGUGCUAUUCUGCAGUGCGCUAAAACAUAGAAAUAUCUUUGACCAACCAAAUUUGUCUUUUGCGCGUUGCACAACUCUGUGAGAGUGAGAUCAUCCAUCAUUUAGUCAGCCAAUAAGGUUGAACUUCUCUUUCUGCAAUGUUCUUUACUACACAAAAAUGCACUCAGUGGUUCACUCUCUCAGCUUUCUGUCUUUCUUUCAGCGAUGACGUUUGCAGUGCGCUGCAUGGGUUUUUGUAUGGAGAAUGGUGGCUCCAUUACAAAUUCUGUGCAUUUCAGGCAUCAGCGCCUCGGCUGUUCUCUGCAGCAGUGCAGCGUUCUCUGCUCCUCACUGCAGGAUCCAGGCCUUUUUCCCCCCCCUUUUUUUUUCCUUCUUGCAUGACUUUGUUCUGCCUAGGACCCCAGGUGAACCCUGCGAUCUUUUGUCCUCUGGUACAUGCAUCUCAUAUUAACCUUGAAUCUAUCAAGUCAAGGUGUGCUCUCACCUGUUAUAAGAACAUUAGUGUUUGUGUAUUACAUCAAGGCUUUUCUAUCUGAUUAGCUUGUAUCCCUGCCCUUAUGAAUCCCCGAAAAGACUGCUGAAUCAGUAAAACUCACAUAAUGGAUCAUCUCUGAUUGUUGACGAUCUGCUGCUUGUCCAUAUCAAUCAGUGUCAGCGUGAAUCAUAGGUGUGCAUCGUGCCGUCAGCUGUGAGCGGAGCGUCAUCCCCUGCAUGUGUGAUCUGCAUGCAGCGCUGCUACUGCAGCAGCCUGCAGAGCCUCGCAGCAUCUGUCCUCUCCUCUGUACUCUUUGACACCAGGGAAAAUGCCCCCGCCAGCAUAUCCCUCACAUGGCCCACGCCAUUUUCAGUAAUGGCAUCCCCUGUGAUGAAUAAGCCAUGAGGAGGGGCCCUUUUACAUGUCCUAUUAGAUUACCUCGCUAUGCUUUACCUGGAUACUGUCACCUCAUCGCCUCUGGCUCUCCACUCUUCUUAAUAUUCUCUCUUGUUAGCCCAGCCAAGGGCAGAAUGUGUAAAUGUGUGUUAGGGCUCAUAGAUCAUACGAGUGCUGAGAUUCAGAGUUGAGUCAUCUAUGCAGCUCAUUGAAUGUGUACACACAAGACUCUCACUCAUGUUUAUGAUUUGCAUUAAGAACUUGGAAAACUGCCUAUUAGGGUUUUUGUUGCUGAUGAGAACUGUUUAUUUAAGUAGGUGAUAGCAUCAUAGCAGGCCAUCGUCAAUGCCUGAUUGCUUGACUUAUCAGACACAACCUGUGAUGUAAUGCUCAUCUGAGGGGAAAAAAAGGGAUAUCUGUCACAAAAAGACAUUCUUGACGCAGGCAGAUAAUGGAGCCGAGCUGGUGCAUUUGCAUGUGUUUUUUCUUUGACCAUUCACAGUCGAUUCCUCGGCUCCAUUGAUCUGUCCGUAAAAGAUAAUAGACAUAUUGAUUUACAAGCUCAGCAGCUUGCUUGGUUUACUCAUCAAUUCAGACAAAUUCUCAAUAGUCCUCAGUCGAGGAGGCAAAUUGCCUUGACUGACAGCUGACUCCUGUGUCUGUGAAACUUUUUGGGUGCACAUGGCAGAAUUUAGCUCUGAAAACCUUGACAAGAUGUGAAAUAAAAAAAGGGCUUCAGUGAGUGUAAGUGAUUAGGUGGUUUUAGGGGCUAUCCUUUGGGGAAAUCUGACAUUGGUGAUGAAAAAUUGAGUCAGAGAGGAGGUAAUUGAAGCUAGCUAGCAAUAAAUUAACUUCACAAACAUCUUUCUCUCUCCGCUGGGCUCACUCUGUCUGGCGUAGAGAUAGACUGAAUGAUGGGAGAUUGUAGUAGAAGGUGUUUCACUGCGCCAGUGCUUCUUUGUUGACCUCAUUUUGUAAAGCCGAGCAGAUUCCUCCCAAGGCCAAGUGGAGUUAAAAAGACACACACUGUCAACGACAAAAGAGGCCAAAUGUGGUUGUGCAGAAGUGUGCACACAGCAGUGCAAACUGCUCAACACUCACACUUGUGAAAUCACAACAGAGAUUGUUCAUUUUACCGACAAGGAAAUCCUUCUCUCAAAGAAGCACUUCCAACAUCACUCACUGUGUUAUUAAAGGCAGAGCUCAAUAUGUCAAACAUAUGAUGUGCAAAGAGUCAUCGGUUUCUCCCUCAGUAUGAGACAGAUAGUAAUAAGAGGUGUGUGAUGGAUUGACAUUAUGGUGAGUGGCUGAACUUCUGACAGCUGGCUGCUCGGUUGUGGAGAAUAAGGAGCGGCUCUGUCAGCGUCAGCAGCAGUCGGCUUGUUCUUUACACAAACGCAUAAUGCACAGAUCAGCCUAAACUGAGGGAGACUGUCCUCAUCAGGCCUUCACAGAACUGAACUAUACAUUUCAAGCAUUGUGGUGUAAUAUCUUCUGUGUUCUACAUGUUAUGUUGUGUCAUGCUGAUGAAGGCUAUGGUAAUACUAAGUGCUAUCCUGUAGGCAACUGGACUUGUUUCAGUUUCUUGAGGACAUUUCACCUCUCAUCUAACUAACUGGAGGGCAGUUGCAGCUUUAACCCUGUCUAGGUGUGUCCCGGCAGAGUCCUGAGAGUCGUUGACCUAACCGGCUUUCGUGUGAGUCGUUAGGGCUAGGUGAGUCCAGGUGUCAGUGGCUGCUAAGCAGUCUGGGGAGGGAACACAGGACAGCAUUGUCGGUGGGUGAAUCUGGAUUUCUAUUUUUCACAUUAAGAUGCCUGCACUUAAAUAUGUAAAUUGUAGAGCAGGUAAUGUUAAUAUUUCUUGGUUUCCAGUAUAAAGACUUUGGACCUUGUUCAUUGUAUCUGUACAAGUAGAAUGGAAAUUCUCAUUGAGCAGUAAACCAACAUAAGUGGCUCCCUUUCACAACCAGUUUACACUGAAGAAACAACCAAAAUGAUCAUCUUGAAAACACUUAAGGACCUCACACUGAUGCAAAAUUUCCUUCACAGAGACCUGCCACACUCCGUCAGUGUAAUGCUGCUCUUCCUUUAAUGAAACAUUAAUAUCUGUGUGAUAGAAAAAGCAGAAAACAACUUUAUGUUUAAUAUAAAAUAUGAAUACUGCAUGAUGAAAUCUAAUCUACAGAAUAUACUGGAGUCUCCGGUGUUUUUCCUGUGCCAUUUUCAUCUGCAGAGAUGCCGGGCAGCUUGUUAUUUUUGUCUUUUUCCCCACUGCAUUGUGUUCUGCGUUCCAGGUUCUUGGAGGAGUGUUGCAUAUCCCCCACAACAACUCGUGUCAGCUGGAGAUGUGUGUUGACUCCUGGCCUACAUUCACUACUGCCAUUUGUUAUCGUCGAAAACAGCAUUUCAGCAGCAGCAGCUUCGGGGUGAUUCCUGACAUAUGUUCCGUCUUCAGCAAGGAUCCAGCAACACUGAGACGUCUGCUGCUUAAUGAGAGAGUCUUAAACUGGAAGAGUGGACCUACAUUCAGAGGUAUACCAAGCUCACAUUGUCAGCUCAUCAAAGAACUUGCCUCCCUCAGUGGACUCUUUAUCACAGAAUACGGGGGCUAUCACUCCUUCAUCCACAACAUCCUGGAGAAAAAGAGCUGCCAAGAGAAAGUGUUGCCGCUGCCAAAUUCCAUUCUCAGUGAGUCCCGCGCUGAGCUCAUGGACGCUCUCUUGCCUUAUGGAGGCAGCCAGGGGAGCCUCAACCACGUGAGAGCCUGCAUAGACCAUCUGCCAAACCACUGUGUGACGGAUGAGACGGGCCGGCCUGUGUCCUGGAUGCUGUCUUAUGAGCUGUGUGAGCUGAGGAUGGCCUACACCCUACCAGAGUACAGACGGGCCGGUCACUUCCUGGCUCUGUCUCUGACUGUGAUUGGCAAGAUGAGCUCCGUGUGUCUGUCCGUCUACUGCCACGUCCACCGGCAGAACCAGGGUGUUUAUUAACGCUGUGACCUCACGCGGCUAUGCUGCCUGAGCUGGUAUUGAGAACAUGUCAGUGCAGCUAAUAUGCAAGGACAGACAGUAAGGCGGACUGAUGACAAUAAGGUCUGUUGGAUGAUUGAAACCACACUGGAAAAAUAAUGUUUUAUUGUAAAAGUGGAACAUUUAACAAUUACUUUUCUUGUUCUGUGAAUUCUGUUUUCCCUGCAGCACUCAGAGGAUGCUGCGCUUUAGACAGUUUAGUCCAUUUCUGACAGCAAACUCCAAGUAGAACAAACUCCAAAAUAACAUUUUUUGUGGCCUUAGGGUGGAUUUGAUGAAUAUGCCAGCCAUGCUCCUCCUUUCUAUUUACGAAUGUCCCUCAAUCUGAAACAAUUCUCUGAGAACAACACGAAUCUGUCUUAAGUUUGACCCUCCGGCAUGUGCUGAGCGGCUUUUCUUGAGGAAAAGAGCUCCUAAUCUGCAGAUCACCCAAGGAGGCUCUCCUCCACCUGGGACCCUUCCCCGGAGGUGUGCUGUUUCACUGCUGAUUGCCUCUCUGUGUUUUAGCAGCAAUGCACCAUUCAAGUCUGCAGGCAAACUUGACAAAUGAGCAGCGAUCUGAGCAGAGGGGAUGCUCGUACUGCACCACACAUCCUGUCCCAUCCACAUCCCCCCGUCCCGCAGUGGUGCACCUAUCCUCACUGACGCCCUUUCCUCACUCUUAACCAGCAAGCGCUCCUCUCAAAGUCAAACCAGUAACAGCAAACGCUAAAUGCAUGUUUGCUGACGCGUGUACGUACACAGAUGCGGUUAAACGAGUAAGUAACAUAAACGUGUACAUUCCUGUGGCUGCUUCUGCAUUGUAAAUUUAUAGCUGCACAAAUUACCAUCCUUUAUCCCUUUGAUGCUCAGAAUAAUAAGUGAGUGGUUUACAUUCCAUUUUGAAAUAUUCUAUCAUCAUGACUGCAUGUCCAUAAUAAUUAGUAAAAAAAGCUGAAACAAUUAUUGUAUAAAAUGUCAUAGAAUAAUUAAAAUUAUGCAAAGGUGACUUACUUAAAUUUCUUGUUUAGUUAAACCAACACUCCAAACUAAAAAUAUAUUAUAUUUAAACAGUUGAUUGACUAUUACAAUAGCUGCCAAGUUAACAGAUAGUUAAAAGCAAAACAUUAUUGUUUUUCCAGCUUCUCCAAUUUGUGAGUCGUUGCUUUUCUGUUUUUAUGGAAUGGUGAAUUAUUUUUUCAUUAUUUUAUAACGUUUUAUAGACUUAUCAAUUAAUUUAGAAAAUAGGAGAUUAAUCUAUAAUAGAAGCAAUAAUAGAAACAUUCAGUUUUUGCAACAUGAUUGUCAAACAGAGAGGGUGUAAUAAAUCUAAAAACGAAAGAGGACUGCUGACAUCAGAUUAAAAGAAGAGUGUAAAAUGCAUCCCGGGCCUUGUGAUCAAUACUAUGUGAUUAUAAUUAACCAACCAGAGGUCAGUUUUCCCAGACUGAUUGAUUUUCUAAACCUCACUGUCCGUGCACACUCCUCUAAUAACUGGUAAAGAUUAAUUUUAUUGCUGCCCAAACAUUUCUGCUUUACAACGCUGGACUGCACAGGUCUUAUAUUGCAAGCCAUCCACUGAAACAUGAGUCGUCUUCUCACCUACAGCAUGAAUCUAUUUGAGUGUUCAACCUCCAAUACAGUCAAAGAGGUGUAGGACGAUUUAGAAAAAAAAAAAGAAAAAAGGGGGCUUUAGGAGGAUUUUAUGCAAGCUGCAUCAGCUGCAGAUCUUUGCUCAUCUCAAGGCGGGUUUGUGAGUCAGAACACAAAGUACCUGACGGCUGAACUAGUUCUUCAUCAGUAUGGUGCCUGCAACUGCAACCUCCACUUGAGGACAGCAUCCACCCACUGGUCCUCCUCAGAAACUGCAUCUCAGUACAAGUGAGGAGCGGAGUGUCUGACGCAGCAUGCGAUCAUUCACCUUGGCUGCGUGUGCUGCUGCUCAGACUUGCCUUGGUGCAGCUGUCCGCACAAACCCCCACCCCCCACACCCUAACCCCCUAUAGAGGCAGUGCACUCUGCCAGCCGUGGAAGUGGGACGUACUAUCGAUCCUGCUGAAAUGAUGGUUUCUAAAAGGGAGGCAGUAAGCAUGUCUGCACUCCCCUCCUCCACUGUGGAGGGGCCCUGAGAUAUCACCAAGCUCAGCACAUUGCACCAUCACCGUAUGGGAAAAUGGGAUUUUCAGCGGGAGACGAGCUGAGGGGAAGGUAAUUCAAGUCGCCAAGCUAUGUUCCUCGCCGAGGAUGUAAAAUGAGCCAUAUUACCUUCAGAAGCCUCACCUACUGAACAAAUAAGGUCAUUUUAAAUGUCCUAUUAAUUCCAGUCUUUGUCACAGAGAAGAUACCAAGUGAGAAAAUUUACAUAAGUGCUUAAGUUAAGGAGCAUCUCCUAAUAUUAAACAUUUGUAGCUUUGAGCACAUGUUCAUGAGCCAUCAUGUCUCACUUUUAUUGUACUAUUCUGUAAUUAUUCUGAAUUAGAGACAAACAGAUCAAGUAUAGUUUUAUGUAGACAUGGUUCACAGGAUAAUGUGAGUCUCUAGACCUCGAGCCAAAGGUGUACUUUCCGGAGAAACCACUAGAUGGCAUCAGUGUAUGAGUCUUUCCCAACACUCAGGUGCAAUUUGGUGCACGUGUAUGCAGUGACUCAUACCAGGCUGCAGAUUCAGAGGAAAUUCUGAGCAGGGUUUUAUAGUUGCUAGUGUCUGGGGCACAAAAUAACACUAAAUAAGAGAUGAUAAUCAUUUACUGGGCUCAGUGUUUAUGGAAAAAAAAAAAAAAUACUGUGCUGCUUGUUUCCACUCCUUGUAUGAAUGAAUCUUGCUGUUGUAAAGGACAUCCUGUAACCUAAGAUAUUCGCUCAGAAUAUUAGAAAUGACUGCAUCAGUUUUGUGGCACAUGAAGGUCCAGUGCACGGUACAUCAUGCUUGUCCAUCACAAUACUUGACAUUCGCCUGGGGUCAGCGUGUCAGCCAGUGACAGGAUCACAAGUCGUCUUAACAUCAUUCUCUGCUGUUUUAAACCAUGUCAGCGAGGGACUGAAUGGCCUGAAGGUCAAGCUGAAUAACAAAGUGCUCCAGUGUUUCAGUCUUGUGAGCAUUCGUGGGUCGCUGGGGCUGUCGAUAAUGUCAGGCUCCUGCUGUUGGGUUUUUGGGUCAUAGGGGAUGUACUUGACAGACUGGAGUAUGAAUUAUCAGUUAUGGUUCAUUUUCCCUGUCACACAUCACAUGCAUGCCCUUUGGACAGAACAUAACAACAUGUUACUGUCCUUUUGUUAAUUUUUUUUUAAUUUUUAUUAAUAAGACAGAAAUAUCCCAUCUUUUUUUUUGCACAGACAUACUAGAGAGACCAUGCACUCACUGUGAAUGUUAAGUCACAAUGUCAAAAGCUCAAAGCAGCUUUUUAUAGUUUCAUUAUUUAUGAAUUAAAACUUAUUUAUCAAACUAAAAGAGACCGGGAGUGAACUGUGGCAGUGUAAUUUCCUACCUGACUCGUUCAGCAUGUGAGCUCAGUGUAGUCUGCAGUUUAGGGUACACGUUAAAAUGAUCCUGAGGUGGUGAGGCACUGAGCUGAAGUCAGUUUUAUAUUGGUGAGUGUAUUAUAUCUUCCUCUUUGCCAUUAUUGCCACCAUGGACAUAUGAUGUCAUUUAUAUCUGUGGGUUUUAUUUGAGUUAUAUCAAGACUGUGUAUUGCAGCUUAGCCUGUAGUUACAAAAUAGGUUAAUCUGGGAAUCUAACAAUCUAAUAUUUUUUAAAUGAAUAUGUGAUGUUUCAAUAUUUAAUUGCAUGUUUUCAUGCAGCUACAUUGGACAUUCAGUAACUACUUUGUCCUACAACUACCUCUGAAAUGUGUUUUCACAAAAUGUAUUUUGUUAGUUGCUGUGUUUGUGAAAUGUCGUGUUCUGUGAAAUGUUGUGUUUUCUGAAAUGUUGUUGUGUUCUCUGAAAUGUUGUUUUAGACCCCCAGGGCCAUGGUUAUGUACAAUAACAAAAUAAAUGUUCUACAAGA